UACGGAGGAUGCAAGCGUUAUCCGGAUUUAUUGGGUUUAAAGGGUGCGCAGGUUGUUUGAUAAGUCAGUGGUGAAAGUCUGUCGCUUAACGGUAGGAUUGCCAUUGAUACUGUUGGACUUGAAUAUGGAUGAGGUAGGCGGAAUGUGUAAUGUAGCGGUGAAAUGCUUAGAUAUUACACAGAACACCAAUUGCGUAGGCAGCUUACUGAGCCGACACUGACGCUGAGGCACGAAAGCGUGGGGAUCGAACAGGAUUA
rnacentral:rRNA from 1 species